CGGAAUGUCUUUACACAUGCAAGUCGAACGGUAGGAGGGGGACCAACCCUCGAGAGUGGCGAACGGGUGAGUAAUAUAUACGGAACGUCGCCCAGUCGGUGGGGAUAACGUAGCGAAAGUUACGCUAAUACCGCAUACGAUCUACGGAUGAAAGCGGGGGAUCGCAAGACCUCGCGCGAUUGGAGCGGCCGAUAUCAGAUUAGGUAGUUGGUGGGGUAAAGGCUCACCAAGCCAACGAUCUGUAGCUGGUCUGAGAGGACGACCAGCCACACUGGAACUGAGACACGGUCCAGACUCCUACGGGAGGCAGCAGUGGGGAAUUUUGGACAAUGGACGCAAGUCUGAUCCAGCCAUUCCGCGUGCAGGAUGAAGGCCCUCGGGUUGUAAACUGCUUUUGUACGGAACGAAAAGGUUUCUAUUAAUACUAGGAGCUCAUGACGGUACCGUAAGAAUAAGCACCGGCUAACUACGUG
rnacentral:rRNA from 1 species